GACGUAGGGUGCGAGCGUUGUCCGGAUUUAUUGGGCGUAAAGAGCUCGUAGGCGGCUUGUCGCGUCGAAUGUGAAAACUCGGGGCUCAACUCCGAGCUUGCAUUCGAUACGGGCAGGCUAGAGUUCGGUAGGGGAGACUGGAAUUCCUGGUGUAGCGGUGAAAUGCGCAGAUAUCAGGAGGAACACCGAUGGCGAAGGCAGUGGUCUGGGCCGAUACUGACGCUGAGGAGCGAAAGCGUGGGGGAGCGAA
rnacentral:rRNA from 1 species